rnacentral:rRNA from 1 species
CUUGCUUCUCUUGAGAGCGGCGGACGGGUGAGUAAUGCCUAGGAAUCUGCCUGGUAGUGGGGGAUAACGUCCGGAAACGGACGCUAAUACCGCAUACGUCCUACGGGAGAAAGCAGGGGACCUUCGGGCCUUGCGCUAUCAGAUGAGCCUAGGUCGGAUUAGCUAGUUGGUGGGGUAAUGGCUCACCAAGGCGACGAUCCGUAACUGGUCUGAGAGGAUGAUCAGUCACACUGGAACUGAGACACGGUCCAGACUCCUACGGGAGGCAGCAGUGGGGAAUAUUGGACAAUGGGCGAAAGCCUGAUCCAGCCAUGCCGCGUGUGUGAAGAAGGUCUUCGGAUUGUAAAGCACUUUAAGUUGGGAGGAAGGGCAGUAAAUUAAUACUUUGCUGUUUUGACGAUUACCGACAGAAUAAGCACCGGCUAACUCUGUGCCAGCAGCCGCGGUAAUACAGAGGGUGCAAGCGUUAAUCGGAAAUUACUGGGCGUAAAAGCGCGCGGAAGGUGGUUCGUUAAUUUUGGA